rnacentral:lncRNA from 1 species
AUUUGUUCACACGAGCAAAUAAUGCAAGAUUUAAAGCCCUUGGAAUCAUCCAAAAAUUAAGAGUUGACAUUAUAUUUACAGAAUCUGACAGUUCUUUUCUUCAUGGACAAACAUUAUGUUGAAAUUUCUCAUGAUGCGGCUAAAGGAUAUUGAAUCUAAAUCAACCUUUUCUUGUCAAAUGUUUAAAAUAAUGAUGAUGUUUUAAUUCAAAGAGCAUGCAUGCAUUGUUACAAUAGUUUCCUUCCAGCUGUCUUAGAUGCCACUAAGUGAAGACAUUGGAUACAAAUGGGCAGAUGCAUUGGAUACAUGUACCAAAGGAGAAUCCAAGCUACCUGAGACUCCAUCCAGAGACAAGAGGGAGACCUCCGUUCCUUUUCAUUCUCCCUUCCUCGGGACCCCAACCCUCUUCCUGACCAGAGACACAGAACAAGACGGGCGUUGACUCCUAGGAGACAAUGGGCACAGUCCACCAAGAGGACCUUCUGGGGGCUAGAGAGGACUGUCCCUGGGGUGUCCUGGCCUUUCUUCCAGUGCUUCUCAAGCCGCAACCACACGUUACAGUCACCAGGGGGAUAUUUGAAGCUCCCAACACCCAGGCCCACUCGGGCGCCUUCAGCAGCACCUGGAAGCCCGGUUAGAAACGCAAAUUCUUCAUCCUCAACACAGCUCCACCGAAACGGGAGCUCUGGGAGUGUGUCUCAGCAAGUGUGCUUUCAGGGGACUUCCAGAUGAUUCUAGUGCAUGCUGAAGGUUGAGAUCCAGGCUCUGUUGGGAAGUGCUCCCUGGCUUCCUCUUCACAGGCCCUCACCCUUGGAGAAAGGAAACUUUCCAGACAUUUGAGCUCACUGUGUGUUGGGACCUGUGUUUUUCCAAGGAAAUAAAGCUAUCUGCUGAGAGAAGCAAGUCCAAAACCCCAAGACUCCCGUGGAAAUAAAGACCGUCUGAACGAGAAAAGUGGAGGCUCUUUUUUUCUUAAUGUUUAUUUAUUUAUUUUUGAGAGAGAGAGAAAGAGGGUGAGAGCAUGAGAGAGAGCGAGAGAGCGAGAGAGCGAGAGAGAGAGAGAGAGAGAGAGACAACAGAAAUAAGGGAGGAGCUGAGAGAGAGGGAGACACAGAAUCUGAAGCAGGCUCCAGGCUCUAAGCUGUCAGCACAGAGCCCGACAUGGGGCUCGAACCCACAAACCGUGAGAUCAUGACCUGAACCAAAAUCGGACUCUUUACCCACGGAGCCACCCAAGUGCCCCAAGAGGAGGAUCUUUAUUUAGAGUUUGCUGUAAUAAGGGAGUCAGUCACUGUGUGAGACAGGAGGAAAUUUAUUAGUUAAUCCCUCCUCCUACACACACACACACACACACACACACACACACACACACA